AUUGAACGCUGGCGGCAGGCUUAACACAUGCAAGUCGAGCGGGGUGAUGGUGCUUGCACUAUCACUUAGCGGCGGACAGGUGAGUAAUGCUUAGGAAUCUGCCUAUUAGUGGGGGACAACAUCUCGAAAGGGAUGCUAAUACCGCAUACGUCCUACGGGAGAAAGCAGGGGAUCACUUGUGACCUUGCGCUAAUAGAUGAGCCUAAGUCGGAUUAGCUAGUUGGUGGGGUAAAGGCCUACCAAGGCGACGAUCUGUAGCGGGUCUGAGAGGAUGAGCCGCCAAACUGGGACUGAGACACGGCCCAGACUCCUACGGGAGGCAGCAGUGGGGAAUAUUGGACAAUGGGGGGAACCCUGAUCCAGCCAUGCCGCGUGUGUGAAGAAGGCCUUAUGGUUGUAAAGCACUUUAAGCGAGGAGGAGGCUCUUUUGGUUAAUACCCAAGAUGAGUGGACGUUACUCGCAGAAUAAGCACCGGCUAACUCUGUGCCAGCCGCCGCAGUAA
rnacentral:rRNA from 1 species